rnacentral:rRNA from 1 species
UACGUAGGGUGCAAGCGUUGUCCGGAAUUAUUGGGCGUAAAGAGCUCGUAGGCGGUCUGUCACGUCGGCUGUGAAAACCUGGGGCUCAACCUCGGGCCUGCAGUGGGUACGGGCAGACUAGAGUGCGGUAGGGGAGAUUGGAAUUCCUGGUGUAGCGGUGGAAUGCGCAGAUAUCAGGAGGAACACCAAUGGCGAAGGCAGAUCUCUGGGCCGUAACUGACGCUGAGGAGCGAAAGCAUGGGGAGCGAACAGG